AAAAUUAAUGGAAAAGUAUGACACUGGAAUGAGACUUUCAAAUAAUUAAAAAGCAGAAAUAGUGAUUAUCAGACCAACAUGCAUAUUUAGAACUCCUGGAAGACUUUGCUUCAUGAUGACAAGACUCAACUAUUUCAGAAACAGGAACACAGAUGAAGAGGACCUCCUUCAGAUUUGUGUUGGUGAACUACACGUGAUAAACAUUAACAUGCUGUUCAUUCUGAAAUUUCCAAGAUUUUCUUCCAUCAAGCAAGUAUUAUCUCUAAAACAGACAAUAUUAGAACAAACUGGACUGAAAUAUCUUCAUCCAUGACAUUCAUUACCUCCUACAAGCCUUGUGUGCAAAGUGAACUGAAUGUCAGAUGAUGUCAUUUUCAGUUCUUGGUUAUGAUGUACGGCAGCUACUCUGAAGUUGAAGGGCGAGGACCUCAACUCUACAGUUCCUGCACCAGCUAAAUAACCAGAACAGGGUGAAACGCAAGAAAGAAAAAUAAUCUCAAGGGUUUCUAUGCUUAAGGUGUUAAGAAGCAUUUACACUUGUGCUAAUGGCUUAGAUGUAUAAUUACUUUGUACUUUUUAAAUUCUACCUUAAGUUUGCAUAAAGUGGGCUAUUACACAGCAAAAAAUUUCAGUGACAGAAGACUCUUCAGUGACAAAUGAAAACAGAAAUAUUGCCUACAGCUUAUUUAUUGCUAGCUGCAAGAAAGCUAAUGGAGGGAAAGGAAAAACAAAUUUAUUUCUGAAUGAAAGUAUAUAGCCACUGUCUAGGCUUCUGAGAUUUCCUCUGAGCUUCUCAAAGAAAAGAAAGUGUAACUUAACUAAAGCAUUCAAACUUUACUGCAUAUAUAUUCAGUAAUUAAUUCACUGUUAUUAUCCCGCCUUGUAUCAGAAAUGAAGCGAAAGAGGAUAAUCUUUAGUCCUGAAAGCCUUGGCAGCUUAUUGCUUGUUAAAAUAAGAAAAUGAGCCAGAUAUUUGACUUAUUUUUUCUUUUAACCACCCAGAUACCAGUAUAUGUUAGUAUCAUUUCUUCUUCUUGAGGUGCUAAACUGACAAUAAAGCUCUUGCGCAAAAC
rnacentral:lncRNA from 7 species